GUUCAUGACGAUAAAUAUUACAUAACUCCGGAAAUAGAUCGAUUACCAAAAUGAGUAAAAAUAAGUAUGCAAACAGAGUCGCGUAAUAUUGCAUUGGCUUUGUCCAUUGACCCAGGAUCGUCGAUUAUGUUUUAUCUACUAUUCACCGGAAGUGUCAUUUCUUAAGAUUUUGAAUCGAGAUUCAGAUUGAUGAAUAUUUUUAAAAUAAAACAUUGGGCAAGCAAG
rnacentral:lncRNA from 1 species